rnacentral:rRNA from 1 species
GAUGAACGCUGGCGGCGUGCCUAAUACAUGCAAGUCGAGCGAACGGACGAGAAGCUUGCUUCUCUGAUGUUAGCGGCGGACGGGUGAGUAACACGUGGAUAGCCUACCUAUAAGACUGGGAUAACUUCGGGAAACCGGAGCCAAUACCGGAUAAUAUUUUGAACCGCAUGGUUCAAAAGUGAAAGACGGUCUUGCUGUCACUUAUAGAUGGAUCCGCGCUGCAUUAGCUAGUUGGUAAGGUAACGGCUUACCAAGGCAACGAUGCAUAGCCGACCUGAGAGGGUGAUCGGCCACACUGGAACUGAGACACGGUCCAGACUCCUACGGGAGGCAGCAGUAGGGAAUCUUCCGCAAUGGGCGAAAGCCUGACGGAGCAACGCCGCGUGAGUGAUGAAGGUCUUCGGAUCGUAAAACUCUGUUAUUAGGGAAGAACAUAUGUGUAAGUAACUGUGCACAUCUUGACGGUACCUAAUCAGAAAGCCACGGCUAACUACGUG